rnacentral:misc_RNA from 1 species
UCCGUCUUGGCGACGGCAGUCCCAUUAGAGUGCUCAGCUUUAUCUGGUGGCAACUAAAGGCGAGGGUUGCGCUCGUUGCGGGACUUAACCCAACAUCUCACGACACGAGCUGACGACAGCCAUGCACCACCUGUGCAGGACCCCGAAGGACACCGUAUCUCUACGGCUUUUCCCUGCAUGUCAAACCCAGGUAAGGUUCUUCGCGUUGCCUCGAAUUAAGCAACAUGCUCCGCCGCUUGUGCGGGCCCCCGUCAAUUCCUUUGAGUUUCAGCCUUGCGGCCGUACUCCCCAGGCGGGGCACUUAACGCGUUAGCUGCGGCACCGAAGGGGUCGCUCCCCCCGGCACCUAGUGCCCAUCGUUUACGGCGUGGACUAC